rnacentral:rRNA from 1 species
GGGUCAGUAGGUUGGUCGUGCCACCGGUACGUACUGGUCUCACUGAUUCCUCCUUCCUGAAGAACCGUAAUGCCAUUAAUUUGGUGUUGCGGGGAGACAGGACUGUUACUUUGAAAAAAUUAGAGUGUUUAAAGCAAGCUAACGCUUGAAUACAUUAGCAUGGAAUAAUGAAAUAGGACGAUCGAUCCUAUAUUGUUGGUUUCUAGGAUUGACGUA